rnacentral:lncRNA from 1 species
UCCCGAACUCACACCAGCACUCUACACACGUUCUGGGGAAAUCCACAUUCUGGGCCAAAUCCACGUUCUGGAUCCCAAAUACUCUCUGAAUCCCGUGAGAACUCAACGGGAACUCAAGGAGCGGGCGAGCCUGAGGCAGCAGGAUACGCCCUAUUCCCAGCAGGGUACACCUUAAACCUGGAACCGCCCUAAACCCAAGGAGAGCCCUAAACCCUGAUCCACCCUAAACCCGGAUCCGCCCUGGUCCUUGAGCAAGGUCACCUUACAUGCAAUGUCACUGCAAAUGACCUGGGUCAAUAUGGAGAGUCCUUCCUCUA